rnacentral:rRNA from 1 species
AACUCAAAGGAAUUGACGGGGGCCCGCACAAGCGGNGGAGCAUGUGGUUUAAUUCGAAGCAACGCAAAGAACCUUACCAGGNCUUGACAUCUCCUGACAAUCCUAGAGAUAGGACGUUCCCCUUCGGGGGANAGGAUGACAGGUGGUGCAUGGUUGUCGUCAGCUCGUGUCGUGAGAUGUUGGGUUAAGUCCCGCAACGAGCGCAACCCUUGAUCUUAGUUGCCAGCAUUUAGUUGGGCACUCUAAGGUGACUGCCGGUGACAAACCGGAGGAAGGUGGGGAUGACGUCAAAUCAUCAUGCCCCUUAUGACCUGGGCUACACACGUGCUACAAUGGAUGGNACAAAGGGCAGCAAAACCGCGAGGNCGAGCCAAUCCCAUAAAACCAUUCUCAGUUCGGAUUGUAGGCUGCAACUCGCCUACAUGAAGCUGGAAUCGCUAGUAAUCGCGGAUCAGCAUGCCNCGGUGAAUACGUUCCCGGGCCUUGUACACACCGCCCGUCACACCACGAGAGUUUGUAACACCCGAAG